CCAUUCCCAACCUCCAGUCUGUGGACUUUGAAGCUGUGGCAAUAACAGUGAAAGAGCUAGUUCGAUAUACACUCAGUAUAAAUCCAAAUAACCAUUCUUGGUUAAUUAUCCAGGCAGAUAUUUACUUUGCAACGAAUCAGUAUUCAGCAGCUCUUCACUAUUACCUCCAGGCAGGAGCUGUGUGUUCUGACUUCUUUAACAAGGCUGUGCCCCCUGAUGUUUAUACAGACCAGGUGAAUUGUUUUCGUGGGCUGGCUGGCUUCUUGCCUACCUGUAUAUGUUCUUCCUGGGCCCCCUUUUGGCUGAACUUACCCAUUUCCUUGUAAUGUGAUCGUAAGUCCCAGGUUCAUGGCUCUAGAACACAUCGCUCUGUGUAUUUUCAUUGUCCUUAUUUCUAGCACCUAUUGCUGUCUUGAUUCCCCCAAAACACCUCAAAUUCAACUUGUCCAAACUGAUUUGUGUCUGUCUUUACCAUAAAGUAAUAAACUCCUAAUACACUCCUAAUAAA
rnacentral:sRNA from 1 species